rnacentral:rRNA from 1 species
UACGUAGGGGGCUAGCGUUGUCCGGAAUCAUUGGGCGUAAAGCGCGCGUAGGCGGUCCGGUAAGUCCGCUGUGAAAGUCGGGGGCUCAACCCUCGGAUGCCGGUGGAUACUGUCUGGCUUGAGUACGGAAGAGGCGAGUGGAAUUCCUGGUGUAGCGGUGAAAUGCGCAGAUAUCAGGAGGAACACCAAUUGCGAAGGCAGCUCGCUGGGACGUUACUGACGCUGAGACGCGAAAGCGUGGGGAGCAAACAGG